GACAAGAAAUAACAAUACGGGGCUUAAUGUCUUGUAAUUGGAAUGAUGGGAAUCUAAACCUCUUCCAGAGUAUCAAUUGGAGGGCAAGUCUGGUGCCAGCAGCCGCGGUAAUUCCAGCUCCAAUAGCGUAUAUUAAAAUUGUUGCAGUUAAAAAGCUCGUAGUUGAAUUUCUGCUGCAUUGCAUUUGCUCCUUGACGAGUGUCUGUAUUGCGGCUUAUUUCGGAUUAUGCUUGCAUUUUCCGGAUGUUUACUUUGAGAAAAUUAGAGUGCUCAAAGCAGGCUUUUGCCUUGAAUAGUUUAGCAUGGAAUAAUAAAGUAGGACUUUGGUUCUAUUUUGUUGGUUUUAGGUACCAAAGUAAUGGUUAAUAGGAACAGUUGGGGGCAUUCGUAUUUAACUGUCAGAGGUGAAAUUCUUAG
rnacentral:rRNA from 1 species